AGAGUUUGAUCCUGGCUCAGGACGAACGCUGGCGGCGUGCCUAAUACAUGCAAGUCGUACGCUUCUUUUUCCACCGGAGCUUGCUCCACCGGAAAAAGAAGAGUGGCGAACGGGUGAGUAACACGUGGGUAACCUACCCAUCAGAAGGGGAUAACACUUGGAAACAGGUGCUAAUACCGUAUAACAAUCGAAACCGCAUGGUUUUGAUUUGAAAGGCGCUUUCGGGUGUCGCUGAUGGAUGGACCCGCGGUGCAUUAGCUAGUUGGUGAGGUAACGGCUCACCAAGGCUACGAUGCAUAGCCGACCUGAGAGGGUGAUCGGCCACAUUGGGACUGAGACACGGCCCAAACUCCUACGGGAGGCAGCAGUAGGGAAUCUUCGGCAAUGGACGAAAGUCUGACCGAGCAACGCCGCGUGAGUGAAGAAGGUUUUCGGAUCGUAAAACUCUGUUGUUAGAGAAGAACAAGGAUGAGAGUAACUGUUCAUCCCUUGACGGUAUCUAACCAGAAAGCCACGGCUAACUACGUGCCAGCAGCCGCGGUAAUACGUAGGUGGCAAGCGUUGUCCGGAUUUAUUGGGCGUAAAGCGAGCGCAGGCGGUUUCUUAAGUCUGAUGUGAAAGCCCCCGGCUCAACCGGGGAGGGUCAUUGGAAACUGGGAGACUUGAGUGCAGAAGAGGAGAGUGGAAUUCCAUGUGUAGCGGUGAAAUGCGUAGAUAUAUGGAGGAACACCAGUGGCGAAGGCGGCUCUCUGGUCUGUAACUGACGCUGAGGCUCGAAAGCGUGGGGAGCAAACAGGAUUAGAUACCCUGGUAGUCCACGCCGUAAACGAUGAGUGCUAAGUGUUGGAGGGUUUCCGCCCUUCAGUGCUGCAGCUAACGCAUUAAGCACUCCGCCUGGGGAGUACGACCGCAAGGUUGAAACUCAAAGGAAUUGACGGGGGCCCGCACAAGCGGUGGAGCAUGUGGUUUAAUUCGAAGCAACGCGAAGAACCUUACCAGGUCUUGACAUCCUUUGACCACUCUAGAGAUAGAGCUUCCCCUUCGGGGGCAAAGUGACAGGUGGUGCAUGGUUGUCGUCAGCUCGUGUCGUGAGAUGUUGGGUUAAGUCCCGCAACGAGCGCAACCCUUAUUGUUAGUUGCCAUCAUUCAGUUGGGCACUCUAGCAAGACUGCCGGUGACAAACCGGAGGAAGGUGGGGAUGACGUCAAAUCAUCAUGCCCCUUAUGACCUGGGCUACACACGUGCUACAAUGGGAAGUACAACGAGUCGCGAAGUCGCGAGGCUAAGCUAAUCUCUUAAAGCUUCUCUCAGUUCGGAUUGUAGGCUGCAACUCGCCUACAUGAAGCCGGAAUCGCUAGUAAUCGCGGAUCAGCACGCCGCGGUGAAUACGUUCCCGGGCCUUGUACACACCGCCCGUCACACCACGAGAGUUUGUAACACCCGAAGUCGGUGAGGUAACCUUUUGGAGCCAGCCGCCUAAGGUGGGAUAGAUGAUUGGGGUGAAGUCGUAACAAGGUAGCCGUA
rnacentral:rRNA from 1 species